UGGAGAGUUUGAUCCUGGCUCAGAUUGAACGCUGGCGGCACGCUUAACACAUGCAAGUCGACCGGCAGAGACUUAACUGAACCUUCGGGGAACGUUAAGGGCGGCGAGCGGCGGACGGGUGAGUAAUGCCUGGGAAUAUGCCCUGAUGUGGGGGAUAACUAUUGGAAACGAUAGCUAAUACCGCAUAAUCUCUUCGGAGCAAAGAGGGGGACCUUCGGGCCUCUCGCGUCAGGAUUAGCCCAGGUGGGAUUAGCUUGUUGGUGAGGUAAUGGCUCACCAAGGCAACGAUCCCUAGCUGGUCUGAGAGGAUGAUCAGCCACACUGGAACUGAGACACGGUCCAGACUCCUACGGGAGGCAGCAGUGGGGAAUAUUGCACAAUGGGGGAAACCCUGAUGCAGCCAUGCCGCGUGUGUGAAGAAGGCCUUCGGGUUGUAAAGCACUUUCAGUAGGGAGGAAGGUAGUGUAGUUAACACCUGCACUAUUUGACGUUACCUACAGAAGAAGCACCGGCUAACUCCGUGCCAGCAGCCGCGGUA
rnacentral:rRNA from 2 species